AGAUAAGUCAUAUCAACAACCUGGUAACUUUGAGUUGAUUCAUGUGUUGAAAAAUGUGCCUUGGUAGUUGCAGAUGCUACAUUAUUUGUGCUGUCGUAAUGGCCGCGAAUUUAGCCAUUUGUGGAUACUUUGUUUAUUCUAUUUUAAUAAACCAGAAGAGUGCAAACAAAACUGAACAUGGUUGACUUUCUAGUGACAUACAUCCAUCGAGGCCAAAAGAAAAUUGAUUUCGUGUUGUAAAUAUAAGAAGGCUGAAUAAACCAGGAAAAAU